UAUGGGGAGCUGGUGACUUGUCUCUCGGGGAGACUGCAUAUUAGGCGGCAAAUGACUUUGAUGGGCUAACUGCAGCUUCGGGGAGAGUGAGAAAAUGGGCUGCUGGACGUAUGUUCGUUGAGAGUGCGGAGGCUGAAAGAGGAAAGUACCCCUGGGGCAAAGGACUAAGAGUCAAAAGGGGAGUCGAGGGGCCGAGCAGGCCAGGGAGGCCGGGCGUGGGAGGCCUGAACAGAGGCCGCGAAACGCCUCUGCAGCCAGCCGCCUUCUCCGGGAACGCCUUUUCAGCUCCCCACACUCAGCCCCUCUCAGGGCCGCCCCUGCCCCGGCGACAACGGCGACAGCAGCUGUUUCCGCCCAGCCGGGGACCGCGGAGGAAAAGACAUCCCUGGGGCGGGGGUCAGGCCAGCGGGAGCCGUCCGGGUGAGCUGGAGAUGAUUCCGAGACCACUGCCCCUGAGCGAACAUCAAACUUCGCCCUUUCCUCCCCUUAGCCUUCUUUAUCCCCCAACUUCCCGGCCGGCUGGUGUCCGCUUCGACCGACCGAGAAACCCCCUUCUUCUCGCCGCCUCUCACCCCUCCCAACGCCCGGACGCUGGGGAAGGACCGGCUACCGGGGCCGCUCCGGAGCCGGCCCAGGUGCCCAGAGUCCCAGACACCCCCCCGGCCGAAACGCUCGGAUCCUCCCUGUGGCUCCGGAGCCCGCCCAGAUGCUGCAAACUCCUCUUACCUGCAUUGACGCCAUGAUAGAACCAUCCCCCCCAAGACCGGCGAGGCCAGAGACGCAGGGGGCGGAGCUGCCGUGCUUGCGUCACGCCGCGGGGGCCCAGCAUCCCGGGCGCGGGGGGCGGGGCCUCCAAUGGGAAGGGGAGUGCGCGAGGGGAUUGGCUGGCGCAGUAGGCGUCCGGAGGGGGAGGCGCGGACCCGGCCGCGGUGAAUGGCGGUGUCGACUUCCACCCGAUUGCCAGAAAUGGGCUGGUUUUCCCUUUGUUGUGCAAAAUGACUGUGUCCUUGAGGAAUGUUUGCAGGCUUCCGGCAACCAAGGAUGAUCCAGAAACAUAUCAGGUGUCAGCCCAGUUGUGUUGCCUACAUUUCAACUGAGUAAAACUCAUAUCAUGAAAGAGGAAAGCUUUUCCAGAUAUAUUUUCUUCUGGAGAUCUUUAUCCCUAUGAUCUCAGAAAAUCGAUUGUUUUACCAUCUAAGGUUCCCUUUGUUUAAAAGCCAAUUCUUCCUAAGGUAUGUGUCUUUAGAUGACCCCACAAACAAAGCAUUAUGACAUCAUCAGAAUCAACAACCUGCCAUGACAAAUACUAAUAAGGAAGAAAGGGUUACAGGAAUCCUAAUACUCCUCACAGUAAAAUCAACAUCUGGUCCCUUGGAUUUUAUAUGUGUUAAAGAGGAUCUUCAUAGGAGGGAAAAGUCAGUACCAGUCAUAUCUUUCCAGGAAAUAGUAAAUAGUACAUAAUUACCUCACUACCUUCUUCAUUCUUUCAUUGAUAUAUAAAAGAUCCUCAUGUACUCAGGAGCUAAAACAGUCACUUUCAGAUGGGGCGGGAGCAUAUAAUUAUCUCCAGGAAGCAUGAAAUGUUUAUAUCUAAAACAAUUGAUUAUACAGUGUUUGAGGACUAGGCUCACAUCUCAUUUCUUCAGUUUUUGUUUUGUUUUGUUUGUUUUUUACACAUCUCAUUUCUUUACAGAGUGGAGCUUCCUAUCAGAUAGGCAAAAGACAAAAUGCCUGACAAUUCCAAAAGUAGGAGAGGAAGUGGAGCUCUCAUAAACUCUAUACGCGGACUUCCCUGGUGGCGCAGUGGUUAAGAAUCCACCUGCCAGUUCAGGGGACACAGGUUCGAGCCCUGGUCCAGGAAGAUCCCACAUGCAGUGGAGCAACUAAGCCUGUGCGCCACAACUACGGAGCCUGCACCCUAGAGCCCGCAAGCCACAACUACUGAGCCCGCACGCCACAACUACUGAAGCCCGCAAGCCUAGAGCCUAUGCUCUGCAACAAGAGAAGCCACCGCAAUGAGAACCCCACGCAACGCAAUGAAGAGUAGCCCCCGUUCGCCUCAACUAGAGAAAGCCCGUGAGCAGCAACAAAGACCCAACAUAGCCAAAAAAUAAAAACAAUAAAAGUUCUCUCUUAAAAAAUAAAGAUAUCUUGGAGACAACUGGAGAAAUUUAAGCAGAAAAUAGGUAUCAGAUAAUAUUAAGGAAUAAUAGCUGUCUUUGUUAGAUUUGAUAAUGAUAUUCAUUUUUUAAUUUCCAUAGCAAUUAGAAAUGACCAUCAGGUUCAAGGAAGUGAUUCUCCUUCACCUCACAAACUACCCCCACCUCCAUCUCCCUGGAAGAGAAAAACCAGGACGUACACAAGCUGUGUAUGUGCCUGAGGUCUUCCCUGCCAAGGAAAAGGCAGAGCCUGUGACACAGGGGACUAAAAGCAGCUGGACUUUCUGGCAGAAAAGAAGAAAUAUGGGAAACCAAAUAGUCUAAUUUCUUAAAGGACCCACAAAGGGAUCAAUGGGCAAAUCCUGCAAUAUUGAUAAUGUCAUGUGAUUUAUGAAUGCUUGAGUUCUAGUGAUUCAGUAGACCGGUGAGUUAGGAGCAGUCCUAUGAGAAUAUGCUUGUUGGAGGAUGAAGAGGCAGAGCUGACGAGUCCUUACUUGAGUCUGUGUCUCCCCAGAGUGGUUUAUUCUUAGUCUCCCACUGGCUGAUCUCAUCAGAGAAACAGAGGCAGUUUAGCAACCAGCAGCUUGGUUAUUGGAUUGGAAAAGGCAACAGGCCAGGAAUCCAAGGCUUGUAUUCUUAUCCCAGCUCUGUCAUUAGCAAGCUUGGUCAAGGCUCUUAAUGUCUCUGGGUUUAUUUCCUUAUCAAUAAAAUGAGUAAAUCAGA